rnacentral:rRNA from 1 species
UGCAGCCUGCAACUCGGCUGCACGAAGCCGGAAUCGCUAGUAAUCGCAGAUCAGCAUGCUGCGGUGAAUACGUUCCCGGGUCUUGUACACACCGCCCGUCACACCAUGGGAGCCGGGAAUGCCCGAAGUCAGCGGCCCAACCGAAAGGAGGGAGCUGCCGAAGGCAGGCCUGGUGACUGGGGUGAAGUCGUAACAAGGUAUC